UACGUAGGGUGCAAGCGUUUAAUCGGAAUUACUGGGCGUAAAGCGUGCGCAGGCGGUGAUGUAAGACAGGUGUGAAAUCCCCGGGCUUAACCUGGGAAUGGCAUUUGUGACUGUUCGGCUAGAGUGUGUCAGAGGGGGGUAGAAUUCCACGUGUAGCAGUGAAAUGCGUAGGAGAUGUGGAGGAAUACCGAUGGCGAAGGCAGCCCCCUGGGAUAACACGUGACGCUCAUGCACGAAAGCGUAGGGGAGCGAAAC
rnacentral:rRNA from 1 species